UAGAGAAGAUCGUAUUUCGUGGGACUGCU
rnacentral:sRNA from 1 species